rnacentral:rRNA from 1 species
UUGRAGGGCAAGUCUGGUGCCAGCAGCCGCGGUAAUUCCAGCUCCAAUAGCGUAUAUUAAAGUUGUUGCAGUUAAAAAGCUCGUAGUUGAAUUUCGGGGUUAGUAGGUUGGUCAUGCCUCUGGUAUGUACUGGUCUCACUGAUUCCUCCUUCCUGAUGAGCCGUAAUGCCAUUAAUUUGGUGUUGCGGGGAAUUUGGACUGUUACUUUGAAAAAAUUAGAGUGUUUAAAGCAAGCUAACGCUUGAAUACAUUAGCAUGGAAUAAUGAAAUAGGACGUUCGAUCCUAUUUUGUUGGUUUCUAGGAUUGACGUAAUGAUUAAUAGGGAUAGUUGGGGGCAUUAGUAUUCAAUUGUCAGAGGUGAAAUUCUUGGAUUUAUUGAAGACUAACUACUGCGAAAGCAUUUGCCAAGGAUGUUUUCAUUAAUCAAGAACGAAAGUUAGGGGAUCGAAGACGAUCAGAUACCGUCGUAGUCUUAACCAUAAACUAUGCCGACUAGGGAUCGGAUGAUGUUAAUUUUUUAAUGACUCAUUCGGCGCCUUACGGGAAACCAAAGUGUUUGGGUUC